CAGACUGAUUCAAAACAGCACCAGAAGAAGCAGUCUGAGCAGAAAAGGAUGUGGCAAAAGGUCUUCCCAUAGUAUCUGAAA
rnacentral:snoRNA from 1 species